rnacentral:rRNA from 1 species
GACUCCUACGGGAGGCAGCAGUGGGGAAUAUUGCACAAUGGGCGCAAGCCUGAUGCAGCAACGCCGCGUGAGGGAUGACGGCCUUCGGGUUGUAAACCUCUUUUGUCAGGGAAGAAGCGAAAGUGACGGUACCUGGAGAAAAAGCACCGGCUAACUACGUGCCAGCAGCCGCGGUAAUACGUAGGGUGCAAGCGUUGUCCGGAAUUAUUGGGCGUAAAGAGCUCGUAGGCGGCUUGUCGCGUCUGCUGUGAAAACCCGAGGCUCAACCUCGGGCCUGCAGUGGGUACGGGCAAGCUAGAGUGCGGUAGGGGAGAUUGGAAUUCCUGGUGUAGCGGUGGAAUGCGCAGAUAUCAGGAGGAACACCGAUGGCGAAGGCAGAUCUCUGGGCCGUAACUGACGCUGAGGAGCGAAAGCAUGGGGAGCGAACAGGAUUAGAUACCCUGGUAGUCCAUGCCGUAAACGUUGGGAACUAGAUGUAGGGCCUGUUCCACGGGUUCUGUGUCGUAGCUAACGCAUUAAGUUCCCCGCCUGGGGAGUACGGCCGCAAGGCUAAAACUCAAAGGAAUUGACGGGGGCCCGCACAAGCGGCGGAGCAUGCGGAUUAAUUCGAUGCAACGCGAAGAACCUUACCAAGGCUUGACAUAUAGAAGAACACUGCAGAGAUGCAGGACUCUUUGGACACUUCUAUACAGGUGGUGCAUGGUUGUCGUCAGCUCGUGUCGUGAGAUGUUCGGUUAAGUCCGGCAACGAGCGCAACCCUCGUCCUAUGUUGCCAGCACGUUAUGGUGGGAACUCAUGGGAUACUGCCGUGGUCAACACGGAGGAAGGUGGGGAUGACGUCAAAUCAUCAUGCCCCUUAUGUCUUGGGCUUCACGCAUGCUACAAUGGCCGAUACAAAGGGCUGCGAUACCGCGAGGUGGAGCGAAUCCCAAAAAGUCGGUCUCAGUUCGGAUUGGGGUCUGCAACUCGACCCCAUGAAGUCGGAGUCGCUAGUAAUCGCAGAUCAGCAACGCUGCGGUGAAUACGUUCCCGGGCCUUGUACACACCGCCCGUCAAGUCAUGAAAGUCGGUAACACCCGAAGCCGGUGGCCUAACCCCUUGUGGGAGGGAGCUGUCGAAGGUGGGACUGGUGAUUAGGACUAAGUCGUAACAAGGUAACCG